rnacentral:rRNA from 1 species
UAUAAAUGAUCUACAGUGAAACUGCGAAUGGCUCAUUAAAACAGUUAUAGUUUACUUGAUAAUGAAUCUUACAUGGAUAACCGUAGUAAAUCUAGGGCUAAUACAUGCGACCAAGCGGGACUUCACGGAACCGCUGUAUUUAUUAGUUACGAGUCAAUAUUCCUCUGGUCUAUGUGGUGAGUCAUAAUAACUGAUCGAAUCGCCGGGUCUCCGUGCGAUACAUCAUUCAAGUUUCUGCCCCAUCAGUUUGAUGGUAGUGUAUUGGACUACCAUGGCAUUAACGGGUAACGGAGAAUUAGGGUUCGAUUCCGGAGAGGGAGCCUGAGAAACGGCUACCACAUCUACGGAUGGCAGCAGGCGCGUAAAUUACCCAAUCCUGAUUCAGGGAGGUAGUGACAAGAAAUCACGGCGAGGAUGCACAGUCAUUUUCGAUUGUAAUGUAUGUAAUUUAAAUCUCUUAUUGAGGAGCAAUUGGAGGGCAAGUCUGGUGCCAGCAGCCGCGGUAAUUCCAGCUCCAAUAGCGUAUAUUAAAGUUGUUGCAGUUAAAAAGCUCGUAGUUGGAUUUCUGGAUGAGAUGCGGUGUUCAUCCUCUAAGGAAAGAGCUCGUGGUCUCGUUCAUCCUUCUGAUAACAGUUCCGGGUUUAGUUAUUCGGUUCUGCGAUUCAGAUAUUUUACCUUGAGAAAAUUAGAGUGUUUCAGGCAGGCUUGAGCCUUGAAUACAUUAGCAUGGAAUAAUAGAAAAGGACUUCUGUCUAUUUGUUGGUCUCGGAGACAGAAUUAAUGAUUAAUAGGGACAGUUGGGGGCAUUAGUAUUUAAUUGUCAGAGGUGAAAUUCUUUGAUUUAUUAAAGACUAACUUGUGCGAAAGCAUUUGCCAAGGAUGUUUUCAUUAAUCAAGAACGAAAGUUAGGGGAUCAAAGACGAUCAGAUACCGUCCUAAUCUUAACCAUAAACUAUGCCGACUAAGGAUUGGAGGACGAAAAAAGUUUCUCCUUCUCCACCUUACGAGAAAUCAAAGUCUUUGGGUUCUGGGGGGAGUAUGGGCGCAAGGCUGAAACUUAAAGGAAUUGACGGAAGGGCACCACCAGGAGUGGAGCUUGCGGCUUAAUUUGACUCAACACGGGAAAACUUACCAGGUCCAGACACGCGUAAGAUUGACAGGUUGAUAGUCCUUUCUUGAUUGCUUGGGUGGGGGGGCAUGGGCGUUCUUAGUUGGUGGAGUGAUUUGUCAGGUUAAUUCCGUUAACGAACGAGACCUUAACCUACUAAUUAGUUUUUCUUGCCGAGGCAAGCUACAACUUCUUAUAGGGACAGAACACAAAAUCUUAGGAGGUUUGAGGCAAUAACAGGUCUGUGAUGCCCUUACAUGUCCUGGGCCGCACGCGUGCUACACUGAUGCAUACAACGAGUAAUACCUUGCUCCGACAGGAAGCGAGUAAUCUAUAAUAUGCAUCGUGAUGGGGAUAGAUCUUUGUAAUUAUGGAUCUUGAACGAGGAAUUCCUAGUAAGCGCAAGUCAUUAGCUUGCGUUGAUUAAGUCCCUGCCCUUUGUACACACCGCCCGUCGCUCCUACCGAUCGGGUGAUCCGGUGAACCUUUUGGACCAUUAUUAUGGGAAAUUAAGUAAGCCUUGUCACUUAGAGGAAGGAGAAGUCGUAACAAGGUUUCCGUAGGUGAACCUGCGGAAGGAUCAUUU